GAUGAACGCUGGCGGCGUGCCUAAUACAUGCAAGUCGAGCGAACAGACGAGGAGCUUGCUCCUCUGACGUUAGCGGCGGACGGGUGAGUAACACGUGGAUAACCUACCUAUAAGACUGGGAUAACUUCGGGAAACCGGAGCUAAUACCGGAUAAUAUAUUGAACCGCAUGGUUCAAUAGUGAAAGACGGUUUUGCUGUCACUUAUAGAUGGAUCCGCGCCGCAUUAGCUAGUUGGUAAGGUAACGGCUUACCAAGGCAACGAUGCGUAGCCGACCUGAGAGGGUGAUCGGCCCCACUGGAAGUGAGACACGGUCCAGACUCCUACGGGAGGCAGCAGGAGGGAAUCUUCCGCAAUGGGCGAAAGCCUGACGGAGCAACGCCGCGUGAGUGAUGAAGGUCUUCGGAUCGUAAAACUCUGUUAUUAGGGAAGAACAAAUGUGUAAGUAACUAUGCACGUCUUGACGGUACCUAAGCAGAAAGUCACGGCUAACUACGU
rnacentral:rRNA from 1 species